rnacentral:tmRNA from 1 species
GGGGAUGUACCGGUUUCGACGGGGCUUCUGAGGUCGGGAAAGCGGGUGGAGGAUCCUCGUUGUGCCUCCUAAAAAAACGAGGAACUGCAAGUAAUUGCAAACACAACAGAGCUCGUAGCAGCCUAAGGCUACCGUCCCCGCGCCUAUCUUCUCGCGCGGGUGAAUGUACACCGAAGACCUCGCCUGAGAGAGGUUAAGCAGGCAGUCCUCCCGGCUAAGCUUUGCACCGGUCUGCGACUUUAAUAUUCCAUGAAGCUACAGGAACCGCAAUCUGUCAGCAGAUGACGCGGGAAUUGGAAUAAUUCAAAUACUGACUGCACCCGGAGAUUGUCCCGGAGGAGGAGGUUUCGGACAGGGGUUCGAUUCCCCUCAUCUCCACCA